GACGAACGCUGGCGGCGUGCUUAACAUAUGCAAGUCGAACGGAAAGGCCUUUUCGGAGGUACUCGAGUGGCGAACGGGUGAGUAACACGUGGGUGAUCUGCCCUGCACUCUGGGAUAAGCCUGGGAAACUGGGUCUAAUACCGGAUAGGACCGCACUUUAGUGUGUGUGGUGGAAAGUUUUUUCGGUGUAGGAUGAGCCCGCGGCCUAUCAGCUUGUUGGUGGGGUAAUGGCCUACCAAGGCGGCGACGGGUAGCCGGACUGAGAGGUUGGUCGGCCACAUUGGGACUGAGAUACGGCCCAGACGCCUACGGGAGGCAGCAGUGGGGAAUAUUGCACAAUGGGCGCAAGCCUGAUGCAGCGACGCCGCGUGGGGGAUGACGGCCUUCGGGUUGUAAACUCCUUUCGCCAGGGACGAAGCGUUUUGUGACGGUACCUGGAGAAGAAGCACCGGCUAACUACGUG
rnacentral:rRNA from 1 species